rnacentral:rRNA from 1 species
UUGCUUCUCUUGAGAGCGGCGGACGGGUGAGUAAUGCCUAGGAAUCUGCCUGGUAGUGGGGGAUAACGUUCGGAAACGGACGCUAAUACCGCAUACGUCCUACGGGAGAAAGCAGGGGACCUUCGGGCCUUGCGCUAUCAGAUGAGCCUAGGUCGGAUUAGCUAGUUGGUGGGGUAAUGGCUCACCAAGGCGACGAUCCGUAACUGGUCUGAGAGGAUGAUCAGUCACACUGGAACUGAGACACGGUCCAGACUCCUACGGGAGGCAGCAGUGGGGAAUAUUGGACAAUGGGCGAAAGCCUGAUCCAGCCAUGCCGCGUGUGUGAAGAAGGUCUUCGGAUUGUAAAGCACUUUAAGUUGGGAGGAAGGGUUGUAGAUUAAUACUCUGCAAUUUUGACGUUACCGACAGAAUAAGCACCGGCUAACUCUGUGCCAGCAGCCGCGGUAAUACAGAGGGUGCAAGCGUUAAUCGGAAUUACUGGGCGUAAAGCGCGCGUAGGUGGUUUGUUAAGUUGGAUGUGAAAUCCCCGGGCUCAACCUGGGAACUGCAUUCAAAACUGACUGACUAGAGUAUGGUAGAGGGUGGUGGAAUUUCCUGUGUAGCGGUGAAAUGCGUAGAUAUAGGAAGGAACACCAGUGGCGAAGCGACCACCUGGACUAAUACUGACACUGAGGUGCGAAAGCGUGGGGAGCAAACAGGAUUAGAUACCCUGGUAGUCCACGCCGUAAACGAUGUCAACUAGCCGUUGGAAGCCUUGAGCUUUUAGUGGCGCAGCUAACGCAUUAAGUUGACCGCCUGGGG